UACGUAGGGGGCAAGCGUUGUCCGGAUUUACUGGGCGUAAAGAGCGUGUAGGCGGCCAAACAGGUCCGUUGUGAAAACUGGAGGCUCAACCUCCAGACGUCGACGGAAACCGUGUGGCUAGAGUCCGGAAGAGGAGAAUGGAAUUCCCGGUGUAGCGGUGAAAUGCGCAGAUAUCGGGAAGAACACCCGUGGCGAAGGCGGUUCUCUGGGACGGUACUGACGCUGAGACGCGAAAGCGUGGGGAGCGAACAGG
rnacentral:rRNA from 1 species